rnacentral:lncRNA from 1 species
CUGCCAGGCCGUCCACACAGCUGCCUGUCACAGGGUCCACUGCUGGGCCUGGCUCCUCCCUUCCUCAGGCAAUUAAUGGCAGAUUCACGCUCGCUCUGCAGAAGGGGACCAAACGCUCCGACUUCCAGAUUGUGUAGCUGCACUCUGCAGGAGUGUUGACCUCGUUGGAGCUUCCGGCCAAUUCCUGAGCAGAAGUCCUGCAUAUCGCGGGGAUCAUCCUGAAUGUGUCUACCUCCACUUCCUCUGCCUCAGUCUCAACCACCACGGCAGCCACAAGACUGCAGCAGGAACUUCCAGACCAGUUUCUCCUAAUACUCUUAGCCCAUCCAACUCGUUCUCCUUCCACAUGCUUACAGCACUUCACCGGGUCGGCCGUGGACCCCUGUUCUUACUCUACACGCCGCCCGGGGUAUUUCGCCCACUUCUGUGUUUAGCUGCCAUGUCUUUGCUGAGAGCUCCUGAAUGUGCACCUCCAGGUACCUCCUAUGUGUGCAGCUGCCUGCUGGACGUGUCGUUUUACGUUAAAGGAUCCUUUUAGUUAUCACUUCCUAAACUGAUGCCGUCUUUUCUCCUCUCCAAACUAGUUUUGUGUCCCCUAUCAUAACGAAUACCCCCACCACCCACCCAGUUUCUCAAAGCAGAAGCCAUUUGCGAUCCAUUCCUGAUCCUCCCUCACCCAGACCUCAGUGCUUAAAUUACAAAACUUCUCCAUCCUUAUCUACUUAAUCUCUCUCAAACUACCUGUUUGUUUGUUUUUUUUUUUUCCAUCCUCACUGCCACUGUUACCCCCAUGUCUAGCUUGGGUUAUCAAACCAUACUCUCCUAAUUGGCCUUCCUACUUCUGGAUUUGUUCCUCCAAUCUCUUCUAUGGACAGUAGCCAGAAUGACCUCCUGGCACUUCCAGGUCCCUUACUCAUCAUAUACAUUCUCCAUGCAGCUUGUGGGUUUCUUUAAAAAAGUUCUACUUGGGGGGUCACCUGGGUGGCUCCAUUGGUUAAGCAUCUGACUUCAGCUCAGGUCAUGAUCUCACAGUUUGUGAGUUCGAGCCCCAUGUUGGGCUUUGUGCUGACAAUGCGGAGCCUGGUUGGGAUUCAUCCUCUCUCUCUCUCUCUCUCUCAAAAUAAAUAAAAAUGUUUUUUUAAAACUUAAAAAAAA